rnacentral:rRNA from 1 species
CCCAGCGCUGAAUCCAUCGGUCACUGGCCGCUUGGAACUGUAGCGUAUAGGUGCGGCUGUCUGGCUGUUUCGUUCACCCAAAGUCCCCUUGAGCGGGGCCAUAAUCCAAAGAAGGUGCGAGACCUGUACGGGUGGCGAGAUGGUCGGUUGGUUGCUCCUUGGAGUCGGGUUGCCUGAAAUCGCAGCCCAAAGUUGGUGGUAGACCUCAUCUAAGGCUAAAUAUGGCCACGAAACCGAUAGCAAACAAGUACCGUGAGGGAAAGUUGCAAAGAACUUUGAAGAGAGAGUUCAAGAGGGCGUGAAACCGCUGAGAUGGAAACGGAUAGAGUUGACGAAACUCGGCCGCAUUCAUCCGAUCGGCCUAGCGGCUCGGUGGCGCUGACUUCCUCGAUGAGGGCGACGCUAUCGAUGUCUGUUGGGCAUUUGAUCGGUGUAUUUGCGGCUGGUAUGCGCUGAGAGCUUUGUGGGCGCUUGUUGACGGACGCGUAGAGGACCAGUCCCUCCGGGAGUGGAACCCUGCGUGUUCUGAGGCAGGUCGUCCAUAGGGUAUUGCAACGUGACGUCUCAACUGAGGUGCGUCGGCCUUUUUGGGCUGUUGGGGCUGCUGGGUGAUCGCAUGCGAGAACCUGUGGCUUCCGGCGGCACAUGAGGGUGCGGACGCGCUGAGACGUGCAUCUCGGUGUGAACGUC